rnacentral:rRNA from 1 species
UACGUAGCAGCAAGCGUUGUUCGGAGUUACUGGGCGUAAAGGGUGCGUAGGCGGCUUUUUAAGUUUGGUGUGAAAUCUCCCGGCUCAACUGGGAGGGUGGCGCCGAAUACUGAGAGGCUAGAGUGUGGGAGAGGAAAGUGGAAUUCCUGGGUGUAGCGGUGAAAUGCGUAGAUAUCAGGAGGAACACCGGUGGUGUAAACGGCUUUCUGGACCAUAACUGACGCUGAUGCACGAAAGCGUGGGUAGCAAACAGG